GAGCAGGGCCACCCACAGCAGGUUGCACAGGAACGUGUCCAGAAAUUAGUCAUCGUAGUGAUUCUCAGUGGUGACAGUUUCCAUGGGUUUUGGAAAGUGGUGUCCAUCUACCUACGUGUUUUAAGACCAGGACAUCCUGGAUGAUGAGAGUUUACCAAGAUUUCUCUCCCUGCUCAUCUAAUAAGUGACAAAUUACUUCUCAAAAUGAAAAUAAGCAAAAUCUCUGACCUGGUGCGCUCCUCUGGAGCUGUAGGUUUGAAACAGCUGUUUUUCAAGCCCAGCUUGAACACCGCAGCCUGGUGGAGUUGCUGACUUUUCCCGCAGCAGAAGGUGAAAGCCCAGGAGCUCGUUUCAGGCUGAGGACAGCUCUGUGCUGGCUGCAGGGCCGCCCGGCCAGCCCCUGCCACCGCACCAGGGCAACCACCAGCUCAUCAGAGACCUUGUCACGCAGCGGCAAAAACCCUGUGCCAAGGACACAGCAAGGCCCGGGCUGACCCCCUUGCCCUCCCACCCGUUGCCUUUGGCUGGACCCAGCGACCCCAGAGCAGAACAAAGAGCAGGGCCGGGGCCGGUUACGAGGAGCAGAUCCCUUCCUUCACUGGCAGCACCAGUGAGGGGCCUUCCCCACGCCAGGAACAAGGAAAACUCUUCUGCUCCCCUCAUUCCAUCGACAAGAUACCCGGGUGACCCAGGAGCUUCUGGGUGGUGCGUUUCAGCACAUACCCCACCAAAAUUAACAUGACUGAUGUUAAUAAAGCAGCCACCUUACUCUGCUGCCUUACUGGGAACGAACUGCUCUCUGGGAGCGCGGGAGGGGACAGAUGCCCACACUGCGACACGCACGUGCAGCCAACUCCUCGGGCUGCACAGGACCCCUGGGAGAUGGAAGUGCCCGGGCUGAAGUUGAGCAGCUUGUUUUAGCCAACUACUCCAUUAACACAGGCACCAUUGAGAUGAAAGUACAAGAAGCCACGGGCAGCAGGGCUUCAGCCCAGGGUAUCUGCGCUGGACCCUCGUUCGUAGCACACCUUCAGCUGAAGCCUGAGGGAAGGCUGGAGGACUCCAAAUGCAGGGGGUUGGCGCUGGCAGGAGGUCCUUCCACUGGGGAAGGGGCAGCGAGGGCCAGAUGUGGGGUCUCCCCACUUUGCCCACUUGCUCUCUGAGGAGUGAACAGGUUCAUCUGCUUUCAGCAGGCACCUGAGCACAGGACCUGCUUGGGAACCCCAGGAAGCAUUUCUAAAAAGCUAUGGAAGACCAGCUGUGCUGCGGGUCUCAGAAGAGGUGUCUGUACAGCUAUACGGAAGUGAGCUAGACACAAGGGUUGUUUAAAAAAAUAAAAAAACCUCUGGAACCUGUCGAGACCAGCACAGACAAACGUGCCCAGAGAAACUGGAGAGGAGGCAAGAGGAGGUGGUUUCAGCAAGAGGGGAGAAGAAUGAGGAAGACCAGCAAGAGCCCAGGAGGCAGCAGCCCGAUCAGAUAACUGGCUGACAGAGGCUGGGUUUGCCGAGCGGAUCCAGCUGGCACCGUCUCAAGGCAGAGCAGGCAUCAGGUGGCAGAGCUCACACGCUGCAGCCUCUGCCUCCCACCCCUGGCAGCCCUUCAAGCAUCUCAGCAAUCUUCUCUGGGCAGAUGGCAAGGGAAGCAGAGACAAAGCACGAGCCCGGCCGGGAGGGAACCGCCCUUCGGGACUCCCUUUCCCUCCGUAAGCCCUUUGAGCUGUACGGUACGAGCUGGCAAAGGCACCACUUGGAUCCUCGGGUAUUAAACGCUGUUCCAGGGAGUAACAGCAGACCCUGCGUCUGGAUUUGGGUGAAGGGUGCAGGAGGUACCUGGUGAGGACACGGUGACAUAGUUCAGUGGAAGAGUGCUUUCAGAACCAUGGGGAAAUAAGUGAAUAUAUGGGGUCUGAAGAUAACCAACCAGGCAGCAGGGAGCGAGAAUUCCUGCCCACUAUCUGUCGCCCACCCAGAAUCCUGCCUGACCCACUGGAAAGCCCCCUCAGAAAUCUGUCCUCAACCCCCCCCCAGGGAUGGGAAGGGGGAGAACGGUUCUCAGAAGGACUGCCAGGCCCCACGGCAAGGGAGAAGACAGGACCUCAUCUGAACCCUCUCUCCAGACAGCUAAGAAAGUCCAAAGUCCUGAAAAAAGAAAUAAGCUUGAUGUUUUUUGAACCUCUCUGGCUCCAGACACUAACCCUAUUUAGCAAAGCGUACGCUCAGUUAAUUGCAGAACAGAGCAAUGUAUGUCUAAUUACAGAAUUGUAUAGAUCCUGUACCUCUAAUUGCAGAAAUGUAAGAUAUCUUAAAGUGCUCAACAGAGAUGACAAUAGGAGAAUUUUGCCUCUAAUAACACCUUUUUUUGCCAAACCUCUGCUCUUAAUUUUAUCCAUUGACUGACAUCCACUCCUCAAAUUGUAAAUCUGUGAUAUCUGAUGGGCUAAUCCAAGUUUUACACUGUGAAAGCAUCAAGAGGUUUUAAACUCACCAAGGCUUAUCUAAGCCUCAGGUUGCUUGCUUUCCUCCCAGUCUGGAAAAAUUUUUCCAAACUGGGUUCCUUCUGGUGGAAGUAUUGCUCGGCAGCACCAGCGAGGCUUUCCACGGGGAAGUGAGACAGAGGAGAGCUCCCAUCCCUUUGAACCCCUGCCUGGGGCAUCUUAAAUUACCAACGCACAGCCACAGUGUG